rnacentral:rRNA from 1 species
AAGGUAGCGAAAUUCCUUGUCGGGUAAGUUCCGACCUGCACGAAUGGCGUAACGACUUCCCCACUGUCUCGACCAGGAGCUCGGCGAAAUUGCAGUACGAGUAAAGAUGCUCGUUAAGCGCAGAAGGACGAAAAGACCCCGGGACCUUUACUAUACCUUGGUAUUGGCGUUAGGCGCGGAUUGUGUAGCAUAGGCGGGAGGCUUCGAAGCGGGUGCGCCAGCAUUCGUGGAGCCGCAAGGUGAAAUACCGCUCUGUUCUCGUUUGACGUCUAACCUCGACAAGUCAUCCUUGUCAGGGACAGUGCCUGGCGGGUAGUUCAACUGGGGCGGUUGCCUCCCAAAGAGUAACGGAGGCGCUCAAAGGUCCGCUCAGCCCGGUUGGCAAUCGGGUGUCGAGUGUAAUCGCACAAGCGGGCUUGACUGCGAGGACGACGGUCCGAGCAGGGACGAAAGUCGGAGAUAGUGAUCCGGUGCCGGCGCACGGGCGCGGCAUCGCUCAACGGAUAAAAGGUACCCCGGGGAUAACAGGCUGAUCAUUCCCAAGAGUCCAUAUCGACGGGAUGGUUUGGCACCUCGAUGUCGGCUCGUCGCAUCCUGGGGCUGGAGCAGGUCCCAAGGGUUCGGCUGUUCGCCGAUUAAAGCGGCACGCGAGCUGGGUUCAGAACGUCGUGAGACAGUUUGGUCUCUAUCCUCUGCGCUCGUUGGAAUCCUGAGGAGGCCUGCCCAUAGUACGAGAGGACCUGGGUGGACGAACCUCUGGUAUGCCGGUUGUCGCGCCAGCGGCACGGCCGGUUGGCUACGUUCGGGAGGGAUAACCGCUGAAAGCAUCUAAGCGGGAAGCCUGCUCCAAGAUUAGGAUUCCAUGGAUCUUCGAGAUCCUGUAGCCCGCAUGUUGAACACGUGUUUGAUAGGCCGGAGGUGGAAGCCCCGUGAGGGGUGGAGCCGACCGGUACUAACGGGCGACGGCGACACAAC